GAUGAACGCUGUCGGCGUGCUUAACACAUGCAAGUCGAACGGUGAAAGAGAGCUUGCUCUCUGGAUCAGUGGCGAACGGGUGAGUAACACGUGAGCAAUCUGCCCCUGACUCUGGGAUAAGCGCUGGAAACGGCGUCUAAUACCGGAUACGAGCUGCGAAGGCAUCUUCAGCAGCUGGAAAGAAUUUCGUUAGGGGAUGAGCUCGGGGCCUAUGAGCGUGCUGGUGAGGUCAUGGCUCAUCAAGGCGUCGACGGGUAGCCGGCCUGAGAGGGUGACCGGCCACACUGGGAUUGAGACACGGCACAGACUCCUACGGGAGGCAGCAGUGGAGAAUAUUACACAAUGGGCGCAAGCCUGAUGCAGCAACGCCGCGUGAGGGACGACGGCCUUCGGGUUGUAAACCUCUUCUAGCAGGGAAGAAGCGAAAGUGACGGUACCUGCAGAAAAAGCACCGGCUAACUACGUGCCAGCAGCCGCAGUAACAC
rnacentral:rRNA from 1 species